GGGCCAGUAGCCCAGUCUGGUAGAGCGCCUGCUUUGCAAGCAGGAGGUCUCGGGUUCGAAAAUAAUUACCUCGAGAAAUUGAGUAAUUAUCGAAGGUCCCGACUGGUCCA
rnacentral:tRNA from 1 species